rnacentral:rRNA from 1 species
GAUGAACGCUGGCGGCGUGCCUAAUACAUGCAAGUCGAGCGAAUGGAUUAAGAGCUUGCUCUUAUGAAGUUAGCGGCGGACGGGUGAGUAACACGUGGGUAACCUGCCCAUAAGACUGGGAUAACUCCGGGAAACCGGGGCUAAUACCGGAUAACAUUUUGAACCGCAUGGUUCGAAAUUGAAAGGCGGCUUAGGCUGUCACUUAUGGAUGGACCCGCGUCGCAUUAGCUAGUUGGUGAGGUAACGGCUAACCAAGGCACAGAUGCGUAGCCGACCUGAGAGGGUGAUCGGCCAAACUGGGACUGAGACACGGCCCAGACUCCUACGGGAGGCAGCAGUAGAGAAUCUUCCGCAAUGGACGAAAGUCUGACGGAGCAACGCCGCGUGAGUGACGAAGGCUUUCGGGUCGUAAAACUCUGUUGUUAGGGAAGAACAAGUGCUAGUUGAAUAAGCUGGCACCUUGACGGUACCUAACCAGAAAGCCACGGCUAACUACGUGCCAGCAGCCGCGGUAA